rnacentral:rRNA from 1 species
GACGAACGCUGGCGGCGUGCUUAACACAUGCAAGUCGAGCGGUAAGGCCCUUUCGGGGGUACACGAGCGGCGAACGGGUGAGUAACACGUGGGUGACCUGCCCUCAGCUCUGGGAUAAGCCUGGGAAACCGGGUCUAAUACCGGAUAUGACUCCAUGACGCAUGUUGUGGGGUGGAAAGCCUUGUGCGGCUGAGGAUGGGCCCGCGGCCUAUCAGCUUGUUGGUGGGGUAAUUGCCACCAAGGCGACGACGGGUAGCCGGCCUGAGAGGGCGACCGGCCACACUGGGACUGAGACACGGCCCAGACUCCUACGGGAGGCAGCAGUGGGGAAUUUUGGACAAUGGGGGCAACCCUGAUCCAGCCAUUCCGCGUGAGUGAAGAAGGCCUU